rnacentral:lncRNA from 1 species
GUCUUGCAAGGUAUAAGAUGUUAAUAAACAAUUUUAAUUUUUUAAUUUUUAAUUUAAUUUUUUUUUUAUGUGAAUUUCACGUGAAUAAUCUAUCGUAAAAAUCAUGUGAAAAAUUUAAUUUAACUUCAUGUCACCAAAAUUUGCCUGUGUAAUUUACACAUGUGUUACACAUGCGUUUUACUAUACAUGUGUUACACAUGCAAAUAUCGCAUGUGUCACAUGCGUUAUCCAACACAUGCGUGACACAGGUGUAUUUCUGACACAUGUGAUUCACAUGCGUGUGUUACGCAUGUGAACGCAUGUGUACAACACAUGAUUCCCAUGCGUGGCAAGAAACAUGUGUAUUACGCAUGUAAC